GGGGGAUAACCAUUGGAAACGAUGGCUAAUACCGCAUAAUGCCUACGGGCCAAAGAGGGGGAUCUUCGGACCUCUCGCGUCAAGAUUAGCCCAGGUGGGAUUAGCUAGUUGGUGAGGUAAUGGCUCACCAAGGCGACGAUCCCUAGCUGGUCUGAGAGGAUGAUCAGCCACACUGGAACUGAGACACGGUCCAGACUCCUACGGGAGGCAGCAGUGGGGAAUAUUGCACAAUGGGCGCAAGCCUGAUGCAGCCAUGCCGCGUGUGUGAAGAAGGUCUUCGGGUUGUAUAGCACUUUCAGUUCGUGAGGAAGGUGGUAGUGUGAAUAGAACUAUCAUUUGACGUUAGCGACAGAAGAAGCACCGGCUAACUCCGGGCCAGCAGCCGNGGUAAUACGGAGGGUGCGAGCGGUAAUCGGAAUUACUGGGCGUUAAGGGGCAUGCAGUGGUU
rnacentral:rRNA from 1 species